rnacentral:rRNA from 1 species
UAGAACAACUNUCAGCAANGGAUAUCUUGGCUCUUGCAACGAUGAAGAACGCAGCGAAAUGCGAUACGUAGUGUGAAUUGCAGAAUUCCGCGAAUCAUCGAGUUUUUGAACGCAAGUUGCGCCCGAGGCUUGUCCGAGGGCAUUUCCGNUAGAGCGUCACC